rnacentral:rRNA from 1 species
GACGUUACCUACAGAAGAAGCACCGGCUAACUCCGUGCCAGCAGCCGCGGUAAUACGGAGGGUGCGAGCGUUAAUCGGAAUUACUGGGCGUAAAGCGCAUGCAGGCGGCCUGUUAAGUCAGAUGUGAAAGACCCGGGGCGUUAACCUCGGAAAUUGCAUUUGAAACUAGGCAGGCUAGAGUCUUGUAGAGGGGGGUAGGAAGUUUCUAGGUGUAGCGGUGAAAUAGCGUAGAGAUCUGAAGGAAUACCAGUGGCGAAGGCGGCCCCCUCGGACAAAGACUGACGCUCAGAUGCGAAAGCGUGGGGAGCAAACAGGAUUAGAUACCCUGGUAG